AGCGAGACGUGCCAGCAGUGCCCCCUCUGGUCGAGGCGAUGCCGCGCCAGGGUGCGCGACGGGCUGGACGCCGCCGCCUGCCGAGAUGCCAAACCGAGCUGCUCCACAACUUGUUGUGUAGACUGCAGGUCUGAAUCUCAGGUGUGUGGUGUACUCUGUAGAUUUGCAUAAUUGCCUAGAUUUGCCACAAAUUUAGGUUACGGACUUAGGAUAGAUGGGAAUUUGGGGAUCAGGCCGAUGUGGUUAUGAAAGUAGAUUAGCAACUAGAGGAUUGGAAUGAGACUGUCUACUCUCAAACAGUUCAUAUAUAGUUCCUGUCCUGCCAACCACCUCUCUAGAUAUCUACCAAACCAAACAAACACUAACCAACUGAUGUUAUCACCUAAUAUCUCUGCAUGAAUGGACAUGUUUUCUCUGCAAGGGAGCUCAAACUAAAGUAGCUUACUGCAUCAAGUCUGAACUGGAGUGCAUGAUCGCUGCACAAGGUAAGACAGCUUCAGAAUUACCCAUUUUAUGUCACAUUUCAAAUGAAGCUCAAUUACAGUUGCUGGGAUAGAACUGGGCAUAGGAGAGCUACCCAGGUGAUCCAUGUCCGUGUGUGGCUGCAUACAAGGAACAAUAUUUAGCAGCUCCAACUGUGCAAGCUUCUCUCUUUUUAAAAAAAACGGUCAUGCUACAGGUUAAUAUGCUCGGUUUAAACUACUCUUUUCUUGUCAUAAUUACUUUUGCAAUGAGAAAGGGCAAUUUAACAUUUAUGAGUGCUUCUGUCAGGUCACUGUUGUUCGAUUGAAAAAAGACUAUUACAAAAUUCUUGGUGUUCCUAAGGAUGCAUCGCAUGAUGACAUCAAAAAGGCUUUUCAUUCUGUAAGUAUCAUUACAGUUC